UUUAUGGAGAGUUUGAUCCUGGCUCAGGACGAACGCUGGCGGCGUGCUUAACACAUGCAAGUCGAACGGUGAUGUCAGAGCUUGCUCUGGCGGAUCAGUGGCGAACGGGUGAGUAACACGUGAGUAACCUGCCCCCGACUCUGGGAUAACUGCUAGAAAUGGUAGCUAAUACCGGAUAUGACGAUUGGCCGCAUGGUCUGGUCGUGGAAAGAAUUUCGGUUGGGGAUGGACUCGCGGCCUAUCAGGUUGUUGGUGAGGUAAUGGCUCACCAAGCCUACGACGGGUAGCCGGCCUGAGAGGGUGACCGGCCACACUGGGACUGAGACACGGCCCAGACUCCUACGGGAGGCAGCAGUGGGGAAUAUUGCACAAUGGGCGAAAGCCUGAUGCAGCAACGCCGCGUGAGGGAUGACGGCCUUCGGGUUGUAAACCUCUUUUAGUAGGGAAGAAGCGAAAGUGACGGUACCUGCAGAAAAAGCACCGGCUAACUACGUGCCAGCAGCCGCGGUAAUACGUAGGGUGCAAGCGUUGUCCGGAAUUAUUGGGCGUAAAGAGCUCGUAGGCGGUUUGUCGCGUCUGCUGUGAAAUCCCGAGGCUCAACCUCGGGUCUGCAGUGGGUACGGGCAGACUAGAGUGCGGUAGGGGAGAUUGGAAUUCCUGGUGUAGCGGUGGAAUGCGCAGAUAUCAGGAGGAACACCGAUGGCGAAGGCAGAUCUCUGGGCCGUAACUGACGCUGAGGAGCGAAAGCAUGGGGAGCGAACAGGAUUAGAUACCCUGGUAGUCCAUGCCGUAAACGUUGGGAACUAGAUGUGGGGACCAUUCCACGGUCUCCGUGUCGCAGCUAACGCAUUAAGUUCCCCGCCUGGGGAGUACGGCCGCAAGGCUAAAACUCAAAGGAAUUGACGGGGGCCCGCACAAGCGGCGGAGCAUGCGGAUUAAUUCGAUGCAACGCGAAGAACCUUACCAAGGCUUGACAUAUACCGGAAACAUGCAGAAAUGUGUGCCCCGCAAGGUCGGUAUACAGGUGGUGCAUGGUUGUCGUCAGCUCGUGUCGUGAGAUGUUGGGUUAAGUCCCGCAACGAGCGCAACCCUCGUUCUAUGUUGCCAGCACGUAAUGGUGGGAACUCAUAGGAGACUGCCGGGGUCAACUCGGAGGAAGGUGGGGAUGACGUCAAAUCAUCAUGCCCCUUAUGUCUUGGGCUUCACGCAUGCUACAAUGGCCGGUACAAAGGGCUGCGAUACCGUAAGGUGGAGCGAAUCCCAAAAAGCCGGUCUCAGUUCGGAUUGAGGUCUGCAACUCGACCUCAUGAAGUCGGAGUCGCUAGUAAUCGCAGAUCAGCAACGCUGCGGUGAAUACGUUCCCGGGCCUUGUACACACCGCCCGUCAAGUCAUGAAAGUCGGUAACACCCGAAGCCAGUGGCCUAACCGCAAGGGAGGAGCUGUCGAAGGUGGGAUCGGUGAUUAGGACUAAGUCGUAACAAGGUAGCCGUACCGGAAGGUGCGGCUGGAUCACCUCCUUU
rnacentral:rRNA from 4 species